rnacentral:rRNA from 1 species
GACGAACGCUGGCGGCGUGCUUAACACAUGCAAGUCGAACGGAAAGGCCCUGCUUUUUUGGGGUGCUCGAGUGGCGAACGGGUGCGUAACACGUGAGUAUCCUGCCCUUGACUUUGGGAUAACUUCAGGAAACUGGGGCUAAUACCGGAUAGGAGCUCCCGCUCCAGUGUGGGGGGUGGAACGUUUGGGCGGUUGGGGAUGGACUCGCGGCUUAUCAGCUUGUUGGUGGGGUGGUGGCUUACCAAGGCUUAGACGGAUAGCCGGCCUGAGAGGGGGACCGGCCUCAGUGGGACUAAGGGACGGACCAGACUCCUACGUGGGGCAGCAGGGGAGAGUAUUGCACAAUGAGCGGAAGCCUGAGGCAGCAACGCCGCGUGCGGAAUGACGUCUUUCGGGUUGAGAACAGCUUUCGCCUGUGACGACGCGUGAGUGACGGUAAUGGGUAAAGAAGCACCGGCUAACUACGUG